AUUGAACGCUGGCGGCAUGCCUUACACAUGCAAGUCGAACGGCAGCACGGGAGCAAUCCUGGUGGCGAGUGGCGAACGGGUGAGUAAUAUAUCGGAACGUGCCCAGUAGUGGGGGAUAGCCCGGCGAAAGCCGGAUUAAUACCGCAUGAGACCUGAGGGUGAAAGCGGGGGAUCGCAAGACCUCGCGCUACUGGAGCGGCCGAUAUCAGAUUAGCUAGUUGGUGGGGUAAAGGCCUACCAAGGCAACGAUCUGUAGUUGGUCUGAGAGGACGACCAGCCACACUGGGACUGAGACACGGCCCAGACUCCUACGGGAGGCAGCAGUGGGGAAUAUUGGACAAUGGGCGCAAGCCUGAUCCAGCAAUGCCGCGUGUGUGAAGAAGGCCUGCGGGUUGUAAAGCACUUUCAGUGGGGAAGAACGGAUACGGGCCAAUACCCCGCAUCACUGACGUUACCCACAGAAGAAGCACCGGCUAACUCCGUGCCAGCAGCCGC
rnacentral:rRNA from 1 species